GCCUGCGGCGGCGAAGCAGCCCCGGGUGGGGGCGUUCGCUGGAAACGGGGCCCCUCUGAAGGGCGUGGGCAGCCGGUGCCUGCAGAGCGUGGAGAGCCGCGGCCGCCUCACCUGACACAGUUGGGCAGCGAUUUCUCAGGUCCAAAGAGCGGACCCCGUGAGCACUUUCCUGACGGAGGACUCGGCUCCUGGGAGCUCCGGCAACAUCAGCGACAGCGGAGCCGGGUCUCAAAAGACCGACCCGGCGGCCUGAGAAGAAGGAAGGAGGCCGAGGCGCCGCAGGGACCCUGGCACCUGCCCCUGACGCAGGAGUGGACGCGAAGGUCCUGAGUAUCACAAAAAGUCCCCAACUCCCAACUUCAGAAGAGGAGGUUAAGUGCUGAUGAAGAGUGAGAUAUUAUCUUUGAGAAACAAGAAAAUCCGUGCUAAGAAGGUGAAGGAAAAAAAAGGCGAGUGAAUAUCGUGAUGGGUGCAGUUAUGCUGAAUAAUUGGAUGGGAGGACGUGCCGGGCGAUCUCCAGCCCCUGGGAGCCGGACGCCCACGCCUCCCUCUGCCUCGUUCUCACAGACACAUUUGUGAGGUGAUUAACUCAGGAAUUCAUGCUGCUCAAAGUAACUACGGUGAGAAUCAGGAUGACCCUCAAAAAUAAAGAAAGGAAGAAUUGCCAUUCAUCGGCUUGGGAAAGAGGAAGAAAGUUACGUGCACCGUCCACCAAGGAAUGAAUGACACCCUGAUUCUGAGCAUCAAGGAAGCAGAAAUGGGAAAUAAAAUCGAUGCUGUACGUGAAUUUUUUCCAGACAAGGUUGUCCCAGAACCAGGUGCUGACCCAGUCCCUUGGAGGCUGGCGGGCUUUACUGACCGCGGCUGCAGAAGCACCUCGCGCUUCCUGGCUGUACUGUAUGUAAACUGAGGUGUGCAUUCUUACCGCUUGUCAAAACAAUCCUGAAAUCCCAUUUUCCUUUAAUAAAGUAUAGUUUUGUCCUCCAGAUGUAUGCUU